UAGGGAAUAUUGCUCAAUGGGGGAAACCCUGAAGCAGCAACGCCGCGUGGAGGAUGACACUUUUCGGAGCGUAAACUCCUUUUCUACAAGAAGAACAAUGACGGUAUUGUAGGAAUAAGCACCGGCUAACUCCGUGCCAGCAGCCGCGGUAAUACGGAGGGUGCAAGCGUUACUCGGAAUCACUGGGCGUAAAGGACGCGUAGGCGGAUUAUCAAGUCUUUUGUGAAAUCUAAUGGCUUAACCAUUAAACUGCUUGAGAAACUGAUAAUCUAGAGUGAGGGAGAGGCAGAUGGAAUUGGUGGUGUAGGGGUAAAUCCGUAGAGAUCAC
rnacentral:rRNA from 1 species